AACCAGUUACCACUACUACUCUGGCUCUAUGGGUUCGUUGGAUCCUGUCCCUAGCAGGAGUGGAGACGUGUUUUGGGGCUCACUCGGUCAGGGGCGCGGCCGCCUCAAGAGCGUUCUCGGCGGGAGCGUCUUUAGCAGAUAUCCUACGUUCCGCAGACUGGACACGGGAGGAUACCUUCCGUUUAUUUUAUUUUCGUCAGAACACACAUGCAUCUUUCUCGCUAUUACCUCAGCUUUAAAAAUGCAAAAUAGGAAGCCUCCUGUCAUGUAAUAAAAUUGUAGAUUAUGCUAAC